rnacentral:rRNA from 1 species
AUGAUUAGCUGCGGGGAAAGAGAAACUAAAAUCUUUUCAGAAAGUGAUGCCGUAGUAACUUCCACAAUGAUUGUCUUCAGAGCUAUACUGGCAAUAUCACGAUGCUGCUCCUUUCCAUUGAGUAAUUUAUCACAAAGCUUGUCAGUCAUCUCCACUACUCUAUCCUCGCUUACCUUCUUAACAAGUGGAGCCAAGCAUUUCACAGCUAAACCAGAAACAUCUCCUGAAGCAUCUUCCAGUUGUUGA